AACUGAUACUACCUGCGGGAACCUGCGGAAGGAUCAUUACCGAGUUUACAACUCCCAAACCCAUGUGAACAUACCUAUCGUUGCUUCGGCGGGAUCGCCCCGGGCGCCUUGUGUGCCCCGGAUCCAGGCACCCGCCGGGGGACCUUAACUCUUGUUUUAUUUAGAAUCUUCUGAGUAGUUUUUACAAAUAAAUAAAAACUUUUAACAACGGAUCUCU
rnacentral:misc_RNA from 1 species